rnacentral:rRNA from 1 species
CCUACGGGGGGCAGCAGUGGGGAAUCUUGCGCAAUGCGCGAAAGCGUGACGCAGCAACACCGCGUGAGGGAAGACGGCCUUAGGGUUGUAAACCUCUUUCAGAUGGGACGAAGGUCAUCCGGUGAAUAGCCGAGAUGGUUGACGGUACCGUCAGAAGAAGCUCCGGCUAACUACGUGCCAGCAGCCGCGGUAAUACGUAGGGGGCGAGCGUUGUCCGGAAUCAUUGGGGGUGAGGCGCGCGGUGGCGGGUGAAAGUCAAAGGCUCAACCUUUGAAAGCCGGCGGAUACUGAUGAUCUAGAGUUCGGAAGAGGCGAGUGGAAUUCCUGGUGUAGCGGUGGAAUGCGCAGAUAUCAGGAGGAACACCAAUAGCGAAGGCAGCUCGCUGGGACGAUACUGACGCUGAGGCGCGAAAGCGUGGGGAGCAAACAGGAUUAGAUACCCCGGUAGUC